GACGAACGCUGGCGGCGUGCUUAACACAUGCAAGUCGAACGAUGAAGCUGGAGCUUGCCCCGGUGGAUUAGUGGCGAACGGGUGAGUAACACGUGAGCAAUCUGCCCUUCACUCUGGGAUAACUGCGGGAAACUGUAGCUAAUACCGGAUACGAGACCUUGGGGCAUCCCAGGGUCUGGAGAGAAUUUCGGUGAAGGAUGAGCUCGCGGCCUAUCAGCUAGUUGGUGAGGUAAUGGCUCACCAAGGCGACGACGGGUAGCCGGCCUGAGAGGGUGACCGGCCACACUGGGACUGAGACACGGCCCAGACUCCUACGGGAGGCAGCAGUGGGGAAUAUUGCACAAUGGGCGAAAGCCUGAUGCAGCAACGCCGCGUGAGGGAUGAAGGCCUUCGGGUUGUAAACCUCUUUUAGUAGGGAAGAAGCGCAAGUGACGGUACCUACAGAGAAAGCACCGGCUAACUACGUGCCAGCAGCCGCAGUAA
rnacentral:rRNA from 1 species